rnacentral:rRNA from 1 species
CCUACGGGAGGCAGCAGUGGGGAAUUUUGGACAAUGGGCGCAAGCCUGAUCCAGCAAUGCCGCGUGAGUGAAGAAGGCCUUCGGGUUGUAAAGCUCUUUUGUCAGGGAAGAAACGGUGAGAGCUAAUAUCUCUUGCUAAUGACGGUACCUGAAGAAUAAGCACCGGCUAACUACGUGCCAGCAGCCGCGGUAAUACGUAGGGUGCAAGCGUUAAUCGGAAUUACUGGGCGUAAAGCGUGCGCAGGCGGUUUUGUAAGUUUGUCGUGAAAGCCCCGGGCUCAACCUGGGAAUUGCGAUGAAGACUGCAAGGCUUGAAUCUGGCAGAGGGGGGUUAGAAUUCCACGUGUAGCAGUGAAAUGCGUAGAGAUGUGGAGGAACACCGAUGGCGAAGGCAGCCCCCUGGGUCAAGAUUGACGCUCAUGCACGAAAGCGUGGGGAGCAAACAGGAUUAGAUACCCUGGUAGUCCACGCCCUAAACGAUGUCUACUAGUUGUCGGGUUUUAAUUAACUUGGUAACGCAGCUAACGCGUGAAGUAGACCGCCUGGGGAUCGGUCGCAAGNUUAAAACGUCAAANAGAGUAGAGCGNGAGAGNGCGAGACGACGACGAGGGAGGAGG